rnacentral:rRNA from 1 species
AGUGAACGCUGGCGGUAGGCCUAACACAUGCAAGUCGAACGGCAGCACAGUAAGAGCUUGCUCUUACGGGUGGCGAGUGGCGGACGGGUGAGGAAUACAUCGGAAUCUACUUUUUCGUGGGGGUUAACGUAGGGAAACUUACGCUAAUACCGCAUACGACCUACGGGUGAAAGCAGGGGAACUUCGGACCUUGCGCGAUUGAAUGAGCCGAUGUCGGAUUAGAUAGUUGGCGGGGUAAAGGCCCACCAAGGCGACGAUCCGUAGCUGGUCUGAGAGGAUGAUCAGCCACACUGGAACGGAGACACGGUCCAGACUCCUACGGGAGGCAGCAGUGGGGAAUAUUGGACAAUGGGGGCAAGCCUGAUCCAGCCAUACCGCGUGGGUGAAGAAGGCCUUCGGGUUGUAAAGCCCUUUUGUUGGGAAAGAAAAGCAGCAGGUUAAUACCCCGCUGUUCUGACGGUACCCAAAGAAUAAGCACCGGCUAACUUCGUG